GGCCGAGUAGCAAAGUGGUUACUGCGACGGCUUUAGGUCACCUCAACGCCGUUACUCGUGGGUUCGAUCCCCACCUUGGUCA
rnacentral:tRNA from 1 species